rnacentral:lncRNA from 1 species
UUCUCAUCUGAGUUCCACUUCUUCCUCAAUCCACUCUAAGAAAAAGGCAAGUACAGCUACUCUACUUUAGAGUAGAUCCAGCCUCCCUCCGGGUCUCAAUUAGGGUAUGUGGUCCUAUCCUAAAAGAAAGAUCCUAUCUUGCCUCCCUGAAAUAAAGGGUUUUAACUACCUCUGAAGAGGCCCCCCCUUCCGUACCUACUCCGCAAGGUCUCGCUCCUUUCACUUCCUCUUCAACAAGAUAUGACCCUUUUAGUGGCUAUAGUGGCGUACUUAGGUAAUGAAAUUCUCGAC